CACAGCUCAUGGCAAUGCUGACUCCUUAACCCCCUGAGCGAGGCCAGGGAUCGAACCCGCAACCUCAUGGUUCCUAGUCGGAUCCGUUUCCACUGAGCCACGAAGGGAGCUCCCAGAACGGCUCAUUUCGAACGGCACUCCGUCUCUGGAAACCUUGCAUCUCACGUCUAGUGAUGCCCACGGUGUGUCCGCAGAGGCCUGCUCAUCUGGCCCAGACACCGCAGAAACACGGGAAUCCACCUCGUGUGGGAUUUCUCGGGGAGAAGCUGAGCAGUGGCCAGGCGGGCUCCUCUCCCUCCUCUUCCCUUGUCCCUACGGUCCCCUGGGGACCUCCGGCCAUCUGCGGGGCCCACUCUUGUCCCAGGAGCAAGGAUGAACUAAGACCUGGGCUGGCAGGGGUCGAGGUCCCUGGAAGGGGAAACGGAUGGCUGGCGUCGGGGUGAUGGGCACCUCCGGGGUCCGAGCCAGGGCCAGGGGCAGUGGGAGGCCUGGGCGGGGAGGCCUGGCCCAGGAAGGUUGGGUUGGCCCAGGCAGAGCCAAGGCGUGACCCCCAGACAUGCCCACACCACAAACAUGUCCACCGGCCCCGGUCACACCCUCCGUCGGGGCGGACGCAGGGCACAGAAACGCCCCCUCCCCACCUCCCCCGAGAGCCACACAUGCACGGCGUCCAGGCCACCCCAGCACCCGCAGCUCCGCAGCCGCCUGCGUGCACGGAACACACGCUCUCACCCUCCUCCACGCUCCCCGACUCUGAGCCGGGUCCGGGGACACCGAGGGGCGGCCUCCUAACUGCCCUGUGUCCCCUGGGGAAAUCCCCGGGCCCAGGACUCUGGGGACCACGGAGGGGCCCCUGGCAUAGAGGAGCGCACACGGGGCGACCGGCUGGCACACCCUCGGAGCUGGGCGCUCCCUCCCUCGGGAGCGGCCCUGGCUCUUCUGGGUCCUCUCGCGACGACAGAAAGCUCCUCGCGGGGUGGAGCCGCAACUUGGCAAAGUCGCCUCCGUCCACACAGGUCGGCGCUGCUCUCUGGAGAGGGUGUGGCAUUUGGGCACGUGCCCGCGCGUGCCCCCACAUGCAGACACACAGGCAGGCAGGUAACACGCUUCCAGGCCCUCGACUGGCCACGGGCAGGGAGGAGGCGGCCCUGGGACCCGGGCGGGCGUUCUCAGCGCCUCGAGGCUGGCGGGGGGGGGGGCGCUCCCCUGGGAGGAUAAUUACCCUUUAUUAAGCCUCCCGAUUUAGACUCAGCCUCAAUUAACUGGAACCUCCCAAGCCCCCUUUUCUGAUCCUUCGGGGCCAAGGGCAGACGGGCCCAACCCCACCACCCCGCACGGGCCAGCUCCUGCCCAGAAAAGGUGCCCCCAGCCCUUGUCCCGGACACUCUAGGUACCCCUCCCCAGCAGCGCACGAGGGGCGGGGACCCCAGGGCUCCCAGCUUUCUGGAGACGCCCUGCAUUGGUAUUCUCGUCCCUCGCAGCCCAAAUUACACGGCCUCUCCUGGGACCCUUUCAUUGCACGCUGUCGCUCCAGCAAAAGGUUAUGCACGAGAACAUCGAAAUCCCUCCCGCAUAUUAACGAAAAGGCGUCUUUUAAAUGCGCAGGGAAAAGCGGCCAAUUUUACAGUAUCUGAGAUGCGGACGGGCGCUGGGCCCUGGGCGGGGCGUGGAGGACAGGGGGCUGUGGCAUGUCCUGUCUCCUCUCCCUGGGACCCUGACCGCGGGGCAGCUGCCCGGCACCUCUCCUCCUCCCCAGGCGGGUCCCCACCUGUGCACCCUUCCUUUCAUUUUAUUUUUGGGGGCGUCUGGAGCAUGGCUGGAAAACACCUUCAAAACCCAGUUUGAAUCAGCUUCUCAGUUCCGGCAGCUUCCAGAUGCGUUUCAAAGAUAUUUCAAAUCUGCCCAAGAUCAAUGCAAGCUGGGGUGCCGGGACGGGAACCCCGGUGCGAGUGGGGGUGCCAGGGGACAAACCGGACAGAGCGGGGACCGCAGAGACGCAGGCGGCCCCGUCUCAGCUCCACCUGCGGGGGCUGACGGGCCUGCGGGCGGCACUACGACCCUCCAGCUAGAAGAGAAGCCCGAAGUGGGAUGUUUAUACGAAAUCCCAUGUUAUUUUUUAAACCCUGUGCUGGCCAAACAGCGCCCAUCUAAGGGCCUCAGCCAGCGACAGCCCCGCGCAGGAGCACAGAGGAGAGCAGUCUGCUCAGAGGCGGUGGGGGCUGGGGGUGGGGCGGGACCACAGGAUGAAGCGGGGGGGGAGGGAGGACGAGGUCCCCCAGGUCGGUCCCCUCCUGGGUCAGGCCAGGCCCGAGAUGAUGUGAGCCCCGCGCAGCUGCCCAGGUGCCCAAGGAGGGCGCCCCUGCCUCCCUUCACAGCCGCUCCCUCCGGUCACCGCAACGGGACCCCCGAUGCCGGGAACCCUGUGGGGAAGCCCGUCCUGCCAGGCCCACAGUCAUCCCAGCCUGGCUUCUUACGGGUCCUGGCGGCCUUGACCCACAGGGGCCUGCUUCCUCCAAGCCUCGGCUUCUUCAUCCGUAAAGUGCACAUGACAGGAAAUACCUAAGUGCUCGGGGCCCAGUGGCAGGAGGCUUGCAGAGGAAGCUCAACAGCAGGUUCCGGGCAUCCUUCCCGCGUCUCCCGCCCUCCCCACC
rnacentral:lncRNA from 1 species